rnacentral:lncRNA from 1 species
UUAUUUCCUCUAUUUUUGUCUAUAUAAAUUCGUAUUUGAUUUGUGAAGGAAACUAACAUGUAACAAAAAAAAGUACAUGAAGUUAAUAAAUAUAUCAUUCUCAAGUCCUUAUUUUUUCAUUUCCUUUAUUUUGUCUAUAUAGAUUCAUAUUUAUUUUCAUGAAGAUUCACAUACAAAGUUAUAGUUUCUCUUCUCCAUAAUACUUGUUUGUGAAUUAGCUAACAUGUAACAAAAUAAAGUAUAUGAAGGUAAGAUAUAUUUUAUUCUUAAGUCUUUCUUUUUAUUUUUAUGUACUUAGACAUGCUUUCUUAAUAUAUAUUUUUAUGUUUGUAUUAUAAUUUAUCAAGUAAGUAUGAUUAAAAAAUUCUCUUUAAUUCUUAACAAUGUUUUGUCCAUAUGCAAUUACUCUUUCUAAUAGUUAGUUUUCCAUAUAUAAUAUAGUUUGAUUAUAAUAUUUGUUAGAUUUUAAGAAAUAAUUAUUAUUUAGUAUUGUUAUUACUAUUGAAAAGAUAAUAUAUAAAUAUAUUAAAUAUGGUUUAUAUUCCAUUCUUUCUUUUGACAUAAUUAUUUUUAAUUCGUAUAUUAUUUUUUUUAUUCAGUUGGUUGUAUAUAUGAAGAGUUUGACAUAUGGAUCAAAACAUGAUGGCGGAUCUCUUUACAAAGAAAGAUGGUACAAGGAAAAAAAAAGAAGCAUAAUUAGAGAUUAUUUUUUCACUUUGAAAUUUAUGAGCAACUUAGUUACUUUUGCUAGAGUUUUUAAAAUUUUGAUUUAUGUAAAUAAUUUAGCUAAAUGUAUUAUAUUGUCAAUGCUAAUCAUUUGAUCCUUUAAUAUUCUAUUUUCUCUUUGUUAUGAAAAAAAUAAAUAUAAUUAUUUCAUUUUAACAACAACAAAAUUUAUGAUGAUUAGUUUCACUUUUAUUAUAAGUUAUAAAAAGUAAUUGAAAAAUAUAUUAUUAUUUUCAUGAUGUCAUUUUUUGCAUAUCUAACAAUCUGUCGUCGUUCUUUUUGCUUUGAAAUGUUUUAUAAUUUUUAUGUAGUCACCAAUUAUUAUAUUUUUUCUAUUCAUUUUUUGUAUUUUUACAACUUUUUUUUAUUUUUUUAUUUUACAAAUAAAAUCAAUACAUAAUUAGUAAUCCAUUUAGUGGCUAAUAAAAUUAUACAUUUGAAUUACUUAUAACUCAUGUCUCUCCAUCUUACUUGUAAAGUUUAAUACUAAAUAUGAAUCAUAACUUUAUAUGCUUCAUUUUUCAUAAAUCUUAUAAGUAUUUAAUUAAUGAUUAAAAAAUUAUAAUAAGCAAAUGUAAUAAUAAAUUAAAAGAAAACUAUUUUGUUUUGACGAAAUCAGAGUUUGGAUAGAACAUCACUACUCCUAGAAAAGAUAGAGAAAAAAUUAAAACAUCUAAAAUAUUUUCAACCUAAUAAAAUAUAUUGUUAUUUCAACAUAUUAUCCCCUAAUCCAUUUACUUCACCACGGUGGAUAUUUUGUUCUAAUAUAUACAUAUACAAAACAAAUAAAUAUAUUUUAUAUGUUUUAAAAAAGUCUAUGUCACGACCCAAAAAUGGGUGUGAUGGCACUCGUCUUAUCCCACCAAGACAAGUCAGCCUUAAACUCAACCAUUACAAUAAAGUGCGGAAACAAAAUAUAAGUAACUUAAUAAAACCCCCAGAACCUGGUAGUCACGUGUACAAGCCUCUAAAGUAUUACAAUUGAUUCAAAAGAAAAACUCAAGUCUCUAAUGAACUUGUUUCUAGAAUAGAACAAGAUCAUAAUUAAGGAGAAGAAAGUCUGCUGCGAUGGAAACAGCUACCUGACCAAUCUCCAAGAAGCCUCGGAAAAGAAGAGAAUGACAAGUACAACAAAAAUCCAGGCUCAUAACCUACAAAAAUUUGUAGAAUCAAGGGGUGAGUACCAAACCACACGGUACUCAGCAAGUAAACGGCUAAACACAAGCUAAGGGGAUGAAAUACGGGUACUUCUACCACCCCCAACCGAACCUCCACAACUACAACCUGCAUUAAAAUCAACCCAACCUAACAGCUCACAGUUUACAUAGCACGUAGCUCAACAACAACACUUAGACAAAUUACAUAUCCUCAACAACAACACUUCAACAAAUUACAUAUCCUCAACAAGAAUACUUCAACAAAUUACAUAUCCGCAAUAACAAGCUCAAUAUUAAUCAAUCACAAGUUCCGCAGAAAGGCAAUCAGAAGAUCAGCAAAAUAAGAUAUCAAGUUCACUAAUGAUAAGUAUGUGCAAUGCAAUGGAAUGCAAUGUCAAGUAUAAUGAUGCAUGUCUGACCUAGUGAUACACACCCGCUGUCUCUCAGUCUGGGACCCAUGGGGGACAUAUCUGUCCAUGCAUCUGUCGCGGCGCACGACACGACCCUCGAUAAUAGUAACCAUCACGGCGCGCGAUACGUCCCUCGAAAUGGUACAUCCUCUU